rnacentral:ncRNA from 1 species
CCGUGAACCUUUACUAUAGCUUCACACUGGACGCUGAUGUUGCCUGUGUAGGAUAGCUGGGAGGCUUUGAAACCCGGACGCAGUUCGGGUGGAGCCAACCUUGAAAUACCAGCCUGGCAUCAUUGGCGUUCUCACUCAGGUCCGUGAUCCGGAUCGAGGACAGUGUGUGGUGGGUAGUUUGACUGGGGCGGUCUCCUCCCAAAGCGUAACGGAGGAGCACGAAGGUACCCUCAGCACGGUCGGACAUCGUGCAAUGAGUGCAAGAGCAUAAGGGUGCUUGACUGCGAGACAGACACGUCGAGCAGGUGCGAAAGCAGGUUCUAGUGAUCCGGUGGUUCUGUAUGGAAGGGCCAUCGCUCAACGGAUAAAAGGUACUCCGGGGAUAACAGGCUGAUACCGCCCAAGAGUUCACAUCGACGGCGGUGUUUGGCACCUCGAUGUCGGCUCAUCACAUCCUGGGGCUGAAGUCGGUCCCAAGGGGUAUGGCUGUUCGCCAUUAAAAGUGGUACGCGAGCUGGGUUUAGAAACGUCGUGAGACAGUUCGGUCCCUAUCUGCCGUGGGCGUUGGAU